GACGAACGCUGGCGGCGUGCUUAACACAUGCAAGUCGAACGAUGAAGCUGGAGCUUGCUCCGGUGGAUUAGUGGCGAACGGGUGAGUAACACGUGAGCAAUCUGCCCUUGACUCUGGGAUAACUGCGGGAAACUGUAGCUAAUACCGGAUACGAGGCUCGAAGGCAUCUUCGGGUCUGGAAAGAAUUUCGGUCAAGGAUGAGCUCGCGGCCUAUCAGCUUGUGGGUGAGGUAAUGGCUCACGAAGGCGACGACGGGUAGCCGGCCUGGGAGGGGGGCCGGCCACACUGGGCCUGAGACACGGCACAGACUCCGACGGGAGGCAGCAGUGGGGAAUAGUGCACAAUGGGCGAAAGCCUGAUGCAGCAACGCCGCGUGAGGGAUGAAGGCCUUCGGGUUGUAAACCUCUUUUAGCAGGGAAGAAGCGAAAGUGACGGUACCUGCAGAAAAAGCACCGGCUAACUACGUGCCAGCCGCCGCCGUAA
rnacentral:rRNA from 1 species